GUGCCAGCAGCCGCGGUACUACCGGCAGCCCGAGUGGUGGCCGAUCUUAUUGGGCCUAAAGCGUCCGUAGCUGGCCAGACAAGUCCGUUGGGAAAUCCACGCGCUCAACGCGUGGGCGUCCAGCGGAAACUGCGCAGCUUGGGACCGGAAGGCUCGAAGGGUACGUUCGGGGUAGGAGUGAAAUCCCAUAAUCCCGCACGGACCACCGAUGGCGAAAGCACUUCGAGAAAACGGAUCCGACAGUGAGGGACGAAAGCCAGGGUCUCCAACCGGAUUAGAUACCCUGGUAGUCC
rnacentral:rRNA from 1 species